CGAGGGGAGCCCUAGCACAGGUGCUGCAUGGCCGUCGUCAGCUCGUGCCGUGAGGUGUUGGGUUAAGUCCCGCAACGAGCGCAACCCCGCGUUAGUUGCCAGCGGUUCGGCCGGGCACUCUAAACGGGACUGCCCGCGAAAGCGGGAGGAAGAGGGGACGACGUCUGGUCAGCAUGGCCCUUACGGCCUGGGCGACACACGUGCUACAAUGCCUACUACAAAGCGAUGCACCCGGCAACGGGGAGCUAAUCGCAAAAAGGUGGGCCCAGUUCGGAUUGGGGUCUGCAACCCGACCCCAUGAAGCCGGAAUCGCUAGUAAUCGCGGAUCAGCCAUGCCGCGGUGAAUACGUUCCCGGGCCUU
rnacentral:rRNA from 1 species